rnacentral:lncRNA from 13 species
CCAUUAAUGUGCUGGCUUGCAUAUUUUCGUCUCACAUUGUUAAGCCAUCACAUUUCCAGGAGCAUAACAAGACCGUCUUCAGUCUGCUCCUCUGACCUCAGUCCCGAUAAUCCAUCAUGGCAUUUCUCCUCUCCACAUUUUUAUUAUGGCACGGCAUUAUAAAGAAAAAUGCAAAAAAGAACGGCAGCCGCUUGCUCACGUUGCACAAGUACAGGAAAUGCAGAAGAGGUUUGGGAGGCAAGGGAAAAAAAAUAAGCCAAAUUACACCAAAAAUGAAGACCCUAUUGAAAUAGCCACGACUGAGACUGGUGAGGAUCCCUUCAGUCAGAAGUUACAUGUUGAAAAGAUGCAGGAGAAGUGCCAAAACAAGAGACGGAUAAGUUCCCUACAAGACCACAUGAAAAAGACAGAGAGAGAGAACUUUUUUAUAAAACAACAAGGCAUCAAGGCUAUCUUAAAACAGUACCCAGCACUCUGUUUUGUCGGCCAUUGUAAGUAGACAAAAAGUCUGAUAGAAAGAAGUGGUAAAAGCACAACUAAUGUAACAUAGCCAAGUAAUGUCAUCUGAAUCCAAGAGAUAUUGAUGAUGCAUUAGAAACAAAUUGACUUUCCGAUUUUAUGCGAGAUGAGAAGCAAAUUCGGUAUGGAUGUGGACUGAAACAUUCUGUCCGGAUAUGGCACAAUGGCCGACCAAAUCAGUGCAGAAACGGAGAGGAGGGGUGUGGCCGUGGAGUUGAUGAAUCUCUACACGACGGCACUUCUCUCACAAACGGAGGAGGCUCCCUAAGGUUAUUUUCUUGACGUUACUGCAUGUACCCUUGACAGAAUGGAGCCAUUCUAAAUGUAUUUAUUCUUAUCCAGCCUUUGUAUUGCACUCCCAUUUAAGGUCGGAAGGUCACUGCAGCCAUUUUGCUCCUCCCCUACCUUUUCAAAGAAGAUCCGAGUGGGCUGUACGUCACAGACAGGGUAUUAUUUUCCAGCAGACAAAUAAAUGAAUGCAAAUAUAGUACUACUGUGUAAGGUGUGCUGUGCUCAGUUGUUAACUUACUGUUUGAAAUAUGACAUGAGUAACCUUCAUUUAAAAAAUGCGUACUUCUUCAGUGUGUUAAGUUCCCAUUCACCUACCAUAAGAAUAGAGAUCCAUUUGCGGAUGAGAGCCACAUCCAACUCUUCCUGGAUGGAGAGGAGCGACUCACUGAAGAGCCAGAGGACAUCUCCAUGGGUUUGGGAGUGGCAAUGGGGGUCCGUUUCCUUUUUAAUACUGAGUAUGCAGCAUCAGGGAAAAGCACUAUGCUGUUCAUUCAGAAAUGUGUUCUGGGAAUUGAUGUGGGGGGUAAAUUAACAACAAAUGUUGUACUAAUGGCAAACUUUUUGCUGUAGAGCGGGAUAUGGGAGACUAGAGAUUUCUGUGAUGUCUGCAAAUUAGAUUUCUGGGACUUUUAAAGUAAAUAAAAUGAAUUUGUGACUUUACA